CAGCCGCCGCGGUAAUACCAGCCCCGCGAGUGGUCGGGACGGUUAUUGGGCCUAAAGCGCCCGUAGCCGGCCCGGCAAGUCCCUCCUUAAAGCCUCGGGCCCAACCCGAGGACGGGGGGGAUACUGCCGGGCUAGGGGGCGGGAGAGGCCGGCGGUACUCCCGGGGUAGGGGCGAAAUCCGUUAAUCCCGGGAGGACCACCAGUGGCGAAGGCGGCCGGCGGGAACGCGCCCGACGGUGAGGGGCGAAAGCCGGGGGAGCGAACCGGAUUAGAUACCCGGGUAGUCCCGGCUGUAAACGAUGCGGGCUAGCUGUUGGGCGGGCUUAGAGCCCGCCCAGUGGCGCAGGGAAGCCGUUAAGUCCGCCGCCUGGGGAGUACGGCCGCAAGGCUGAAACUUAAAGGAAUUGGCGGG
rnacentral:rRNA from 1 species